rnacentral:rRNA from 1 species
UACGGAGGGUGCAAGCGUUAUCCGGAUUUACUGGGUUUAAAGGGUGCGUAGGUGGGCUGGUAAGUCAGUGGUGAAAUCUCCAGGCUUAACUUGGAAACUGCCAUUGAUACUAUCAGUCUUGAAUACCGUGGAGGUCAGCGGAAUAUGUCAUGUAGCGGUGAAAUGCUUAGAUAUGACAUAGAACACCAAUUGCGAAGGCAGCUGGCUACACGAAUAUUGACACUGAUGCACGAAAGCGUGGGGAUCAAACAGG